GCCCGCACCGCGCGGGGGCCCCCAAAAACAGCCAGCGGACACGGCACGAAGGUAAAGACAGCAAAAAAACCACCAAAAAAACCCUAAGAGAGAACCCCAGAAACACCCCAGCGCCAAGAGCAGCCAGAGUCAGAGCGAUUACCAAUUGCAAAUCACGGAUUUUACACUCAGAGUCAGGAUUGAAGCAACGGUGCAGGAGAAGGCAAGAGGGGAUGGGAUUAUGUUUACAUAGCCCUGGCUAAACCAGUCAGUUUCUCACAGAGAAAAACUGUCCAAGACAAGUUUUUCUUACUGGAAAAGUAAGAAAAACUUGACUUGGACAGUUUGCUAAGUGAUACAAACACCCAAGUACUCACAACCAAAGUAUCUGAAACCUACUAGUGAUAUGAUCCUAAAAGUUAAGUGACUUUAAUCGUGUGGGAAGGAUUGUUUGCCAGCAGCCUGCCUUUUUAUGUCUACAGGAUUUGCGUUUUCAAGACACAAUUCAAACAUUUAUUUAAGUGAAAUUUUACAUAUUCAUAUAUUCAAGUGACGUCAAGUGCUGAGGCUUUUUAAGAGGAAAAAAAUUUCCUUCACAAUCACAAAACCAGAAGAGUUUGUAAUAUUCCAUUUGGCUUGAAAAAACAGGACUAGGGAAGCGAAGUGAGCAUGCCCUUUUACAGGAAUUUAAAAUUAUACUUCUACAGCCCCACAUAUUCAAGAUGCCUUUCAACUUGUUCUCCCAUCAAAAUAGCUACACUUCACAGGAGUUUUUCAAGGAAGUUUAUAACAUUUCUUUAUUUGUUGGACUGUCAGCACACAACGCUCAUCCAGCAGCAGGCAAAUACAUUAAGAGAAGAAAGCAAAAUUAGAGAGUCAUGGAGAAUUGAGAACUCAGCAGCUGUUUCCCCUUGAAUUAUCUACUUAGGAGUCCCUUCUCUGCAUGCUUGACAUGGGAACAAAAGAGGCUGCCGUCCCUCCUCCCAGCCGUGGCUGACAGCCUAUGACAGACUAUCUGGCAAGCUGCAGAUCCAUUACUGGCUUACUGGGAAGGCUCAGGAGACAUCUAUGAUGCCACUUUCAGGCAGGGCCCUACACCUGCUAAAAGGCUGGAUAAUUCCCACCCGGGCUCUUUGGUGAAAUGCCCUCUUGGGGGUUCUGUAUGUUUUAUUUAGUAUUUUCACGUCAAGUUGCUUCAAGUGACUGUACAAGGACAUGAAGCAUGUCUCUGUCCCUUGAGGGACACAUCUCCUGAGAUCACCAUUCAGGGCCCUUCAAGCUGUCCUGUCUUUCAUACACAGCUCAUCUCUCAGCUGCUUAUGAUGGGUAAGCUCUUUUGGCACUUUCUUCAUCUGAUCUGGACAGCCCUGGAAUACGCAUGAGUUAACUUCCUGCAGCUCUACAUCCUGAUUGACACUUUGUUGCAUCAACUGGAUCCUCCCCUCGAGAUAUGGAAGCCUUGUCACAUGUUGACAGACCCUAUUGUUCCACACAAUAACCUGGGCUUUUUUCUGAAAAAAGAUACUUUGUCUCAGCCAACAUAAUUAACAUGAGCAGUGGCCUUUCUGGGCAAAAAUCAAAGGCUUUCCAAAGUUGCAAAGUCAUCUAAAGUAAUUUUCUGUUCUUAGCUUUGAAAUUGGAAGAAUAGACUUUUAUGUGAAUUGUUAUUUUGUCAUUUGCAAGAACAUAACGAAAACUGGGCCAAGCUCUAAUCUCAAGGAUGAUCAUUCACUUGAGAAGACAAAAGAAACAACAAAAAUCAUGAAAAAAUUCACCAUUAGAAACCAGAGUAGAUUACAGAGUUCUCAGAAAUCACCAAUUAUUCAACAACAGAGCCAAACUAGGACUGCUUUUAACUUUCAACCAUCUGACAGACUUGCAUGCAGAAAAUAAAGAUACAUUUUGCAUUGCAUAGCUCACUUGGCCCAGUGAUGGUGUUUGGCCUCUGCAGCAGAAAUGACGUCUUUUGACUGGGACUAUGAAUUGAAGGCAUCUUCCCUGGCCACCCAGAAGACAACAGUGCUGCUUGUGCAGAGAGCCAAGCACUGGGCAGCAGAACAACCUGCAACGUGGUAAAGGUGAUCACAGAGCCAACAAGGGGACUUGCUCUGUUGCACAUCAUGCUUACAAACAAGAGAGCUUGUUCGGCAUGUGAAGGUUGGGAGCAGCUUUGGCUGCAGUGAUCACAGGAUUCUGGAGUUCAGGAUCCUGAGAGGAGGAAGCAACACAAAGAGAAUUCCCAGCCUUGGACCUCAGGAGAGCAGUCUAGGACCUGUUCAGGGAAGUGCUUGGAUAAUCCCAUGGGAUAAAGCUCUGGAGAGAAGAAAGGUGCAGGAGUACUUGGUGAUUUUGGGGGACCACCACCUACAGGUUUGGAAAUUAUCCAAAUUAUUAUUCCCAUGGUUGGGAGGUCAAACAAAGGUGGCAAAAGACCUGCAUGGUUUAACAAGGAGUUCCUGAUUAAACUCAGGUUCAAAAAGGAAACAGAUGAGGUUGAAGUAGGGUCAAGUGUAGGGACACUGUCUGAGCAUGCAAUGGGGUUAGGAAAGCCAAAAAUCCAUUGGAGUUAAAUCUCCUGAGGGAUGUCAAUGGCAACAGGAAAUGUUUCUAUGAGUAGAGAAAGAGCAAAACAAAGACUGGGGAAAAUGUGGGCUUGCUACUGAAUGGGGCAGGGGACCUGGUGGCAAAGGAGAGGGAAAAGGCCAAGGUCCUGAACAGCACUUUGUCUCACCUUUUACCAGUAAGAUCAGCCUUCUGGAUUCCCAGACUCCUGAGUGAAGUCGGGAACAAGGCAGGCUUACUCUUGGUAGAGUCGGGUUAGGGAAUAUUUAAACAAAGUGGAACUUGCACAGGAUCUGGCAGGAUGCAUCCACAGAUUCUGAGAGAGCUGGAUGAUGUCAUUGCAAGACCACUCUCAAUUGUCGGUGAAAGAUCAAGGUGUUCUGGGAAAAUCCUGGGGACUGGAGGUUUCUCCUGUCUUCUACAAGGGCAAGAAGGAGGAUCUGGGGAACUACAAGCCAGUCAGCUCCCCCUCAGUCCUAGGAAGGUGGCAUCUUCCUUAAUAGCCUGGACAACAAAAGAGGGGGCACCUUCAGCAAAUUUUCAGAUUAUACAUAAUGAGGAUGAACGGCUCUCCAUUAGGAAAAACAUUGCCAGCAGGUAGUGGGAGGAGAUCCUUUCCCUCCUGUCAGCUCUGGUUAGACAUAUCUUAAGUGCUGGGACUAGAUUUGGGGUCCCUUGCCAAAGAGUCUGAGGAAGGGCCAUAAAGAUAAGUCAAGGACCAGAACAUCUGAUGUCUAGAGAAAAAGCUGUGCCCGUUCAGCCUGGGGAAGAGAAGCCUUAGGAGUAUUUUAUCAAUGUGUAUCAAUACCUGGUGGAAGGGAAUUAAAAAGAUGGGCCCAAGCUCUUUCCAGUGGUGUCCAGUGACAGGACAAGAGGCAAUGGGCACAAAAAGAAAUGCAGGACAUUUUUCUUCAACAUAACUUUUAUUUUUUACCUUUUUCCACAGGCUGCCCACAGAAGCUAUGGGGUCUUAAUCCUUGGAGGUAUUCAAAAUUCAACUGGACACUUCUUAAGCAACCUGUUCUGAAUGACUUGAUUGAGUAGGAGGUUGGCCUGGAUGAUCUGCAGAGGUCCAUUCCAACCUCUGUGACUGUGUGAAAUACAUGGCUUUGACUUCACUCAGGCAAUGGACUUGCACUAAAUCCUGUUGCUUCUGCCAUGCUUAAAAGGCACUUAAUUAAGCCCAAAACAAACAGAAGUUACAAGAGGCAAUGGAAACAGAAUUUUCUUCUUAGUCCUGGAACACUAAACAUGCCAAUAUAACCUAAAAACAAACAAACCAACCAAACAAAAAAGUUUUUGAGAAGCUUUAGUUAUUUUUAGCAUCCUGAGGAGAAUAUUCAGUGCACCAAAUGUAAGCUUUCUGUGAAAUAUCUUAUAGAAUUGUCUUUAUCUUCACUGUAUGUUAGAAAGUGUCUUUGUAACAAGCUUAGGAAACAGUCCCAAAGUUAUUCACCCAAGAUGAACCAGGCAAUUUACAAAUAACUAUAAAUCUAAUAUUUUUGUUUCAACAAUUCAGUUAUAAAUAAUAUUUCAGUACAACAGAAAGGGUGAGAGAGGAAACAUCAUGACUGCCAGUAAUGCUUAUUCUCACCCCUUAUUAGGCACUACAUGAGACCUUGAGCAGCAAAUAAAUAUUUCUCAUUAAUAUUUAAAUCAAAUAUCUCAGUUGCUUUAGCUUUUCACUAUACCUACAGCAUGGAAUGGGGCAGUUUUAAGGUAAAAGCUUUUCAUUUGGUGAAUGACCUGCAAAUGUGGUAAGUGCUACAUAUCUUCAACAUUUGUUAAAACUUGUUCUGUUGUACAAACUUCUGUAUGUAAGUAAAAGAUGCAGUGACAGCAUUUACAGGGAAAGCUUUGUAAAAAUUUCCAAAUGUCUUCUGAGGACUAUUGGUCAUAUUUUUUUUGUAUGUGAAGUCAUUUUCUUACCUUUAGAAAUAUAUCCAAGUAGAGUAAUAACUUUUUUUAAAUAGCGGCUUAAAAUCUCUUCCUUAACAACAACACUAAGAACAAGUGAUUAAACAAAAUUGAACAAGUGAUAAACAAAAUUUAAAAUGUCCUUAAGUAGGAUUGCUUAAUUUUGUUGGCUUUGUAAACUUUUUUCAUAAAUCAGAGAUGUUUGUAAAAAGUCAGGAGCCAAUGUCUAGGUGUUUUUGAAAAGCAUAAACGCAAUCAACUUCUAUGCAACAAAUAACAAUUUAUCAGCCAAGACAGAACCUAGGAACUAACACAGUCCUUUAACUCUCAGUGUCAGGGAGUAUAAUUCUGUAGAGAAAAUCUAAUAUUUUGAGGAAAUAAUUAAAAUCUGUACCUGUUUAAAUUGGUGUCUUUCUGCAUUCUUAGCAAGGCACUUGGAUUAUUGGUAGGUAAAAGUGAGGUGAUGCUAGAGAAUGCUGCUUUGCAGUAUGUCCUGUUCCCGUAUACAUAAUUGUCAAAAUCAGACUCACAUACAUGCCUGAACUUGUACAUGUGCAUGUAUUAUAUUCCACCUAUCCAACAACACAAAAACAAUCUUCUUCCACAUUAGUUGUGAAAACGCACUCUGCAAAUCAGACCACAGCUUUUUCAACUGUUUGAAAAUAAUGUAACUGAAGUUACAUCUAGACUGCUGGUUACCAGCUUCUGUGUCAACAAAAUUGAGGCUGCUGAAGUCUGCAGUGGUAUCAAGGGAAUAUGUUUGGAGGAUGCUCUUUCACCAGUAGCUUUUCAUCUUGCACUGACAUUUCUCACUAUACGUAUCCAUCAAUGUCAGAAGCUGUAUCAGGUUUUACAGCAAACUUUCUACAUUUGCCUUAAAGGGUGUCAGUCAGCCUGUGCUGCACACACUUAGAUGGGCUCGGUGGGCAGCAGGACUCCCAGCUGUGCUGCAGUGCACCAGCACCUGUGUGAGACACAGAGCUGUGCUGACAGCAGCCAUGCUCAGAGGAGGACGUGCUGCUCCCCACACAGCUGAUGCUCCCCUUCCCCAUAACUGCAAGAGCCUUCCACUGGAAGUAGGAGUUCGUGUUACUAUGGUAGAGUGGUUUUUCCUGUGUUUGUUGAAAGGUGUUUAAUAGUAAGUGCAGGGCUGAGUGUUUGUGUCAUCUACCAGGCUCUGUACGCAUGGAAUAGAAGAGAUCUGAGCAUCCAAAGUGUGUCCCCUGAUAAUUACCUGAGGGUGAGUGGCUGCAUCACCUCUCAUCUCAUCUCAUCUCAUCUCAUCUCAUCUCAUCUCAUCUCAUCUCAUCUCAUCUCAUCUCAUCUCACUUCAUCUCAACACCUUGUUGUGAUUUUGGGUCUUUAGAAGAUAGAUUCUGAAGACGGAGAUAUAAUGGUAAAAUUAAGGUCUCAAACAGUUUGCAAAUCAGGUCCUACAAGUAGAAGAGUAUUCCCCUCUAGAAAGGAUGCUCAUUUAAAACAGCUCAGGACAGAAAGGACAUCAUAGGAUCAUGUUCUAAUGUUUUUGUAAGUACCUAUAUAUUUCCUCUCUACUUGGACAGAUUCUUCACAUUUUUAUUAGUAUCUUUUCUAAAUAUAUCAUUGGACAUCACAAUCUGACAAUGAAAACACUAUAUAUGUCCCAAAAGGGCAAGAUGUUUUGAGCUUGCACAUUUAAGCAGGAAUAACUAGGAUGAUGAUCAUUCCAAGAUUUCUAAGUAAAACUUUAGUACUGAUGGCAGUAAACCUCAAAACCCUGAAAAACUACUUAAAAGGUUCGAGCUGAUUUCUAGUUUUGAAAAACAAGGCCUCUACCACGGCUUUUCCUCUACCACAGGAAAAGGAAUAAACAGGUUUCAUACUAUAAUUAAAAGUAGACUAACUAUAAAGGUAUUAACAAAACAGAGAAAUUAAUGCAAUAAACAAGCAAGAUUGUUUAGACACUAUGUAACAGGAAAUGAAUUUUCUACACUUUUCAUGGCAAAAUGAAAAAUUCCAUCUGAGGGAAAUAAAUUGGAAAUAGGAAGAUCCUACUAUCAGUUUGGAAAACCUGGGGGCAUAGCUGGCCUUUUUUGUUCCUUCAACUCCUUUGGGAAUAAAAUGGGAAGAGGAAUGCACUCAAGGUGAAGAAAAUUGCCCAGCUAUAAUCAAUGCAAAGGUGCUGAGAAGAUCCACUACAAUUCCAACUGAACCACAAACUUAACACAGUUUUUCCACAAGUUACAUAUUAACUGGGGGGUAUUCACAGUAUACGUUACAGUGAUUUAAAAUCACAUUCUACAAGAAAUAGUUAAUUAGGCAAGUCCCCACUUUCUGCUGUUUGCACUGGUGGUGUUGAACUCCACCAUUCAGGGAACCAAGAGCACCAGAAUGCAAAAGCUUGAGGGCUUCAGAGGAUGUCCUGCAUGCAUAAGAAAGUGUGCACAGUAUGGCUGGAAAAAGAAAUUUGGUGGUCUUUUCUUCCAUCUUAUUUUUGGGCUCCUAUGAAGAAGGCAGACACAUUUUCAUACAGGAAGAAUUAGGGAAUUAAAGUGAUCUCUUCCAUAUUUAUUUGUGCUAUUUGUAGAAUAGUUAUCUCUUUCCACUCCUUUCUAAUGCUACAGAUUUAUAGUGCCAACAAAAGUAAUGAAUGACCUGAAUUCACCUUAAAAUCCCAGGGAACCUGAACAGCCUGUAUCCACUGAAAUAACACUGUUAUCACAACAGCUUUGGGUAAUAAACUCCUAACUGGACUGACAGAAGUCUAGUCUUUGUUGAAUUCCUCCUCUAAUCAUCUCAAUACAGAACAAGCUGUUUACUUUAAUGUUUAUUUUCUUGUAACACAACAAGACUUCAUUGUUGGAAUUACUGAAUAAAUAUGGACCUGAGAAAUAG